rnacentral:rRNA from 1 species
CAAUAGCGUAUAUUAAAGUUGUUGCGGUUAAAAAGCUCGUAGUUGGAUUUCUGCUGAGAACGACCGGUCCGCCCAUUGGGUGUGUAUCUGGCUCUUUCUUGGCAUCUUCUUGGUGAACGUUACUGCACUUGACUGUGUGGAGCGCUACCCAGGACUUUUACUUUGAGGAAAUUAGAGUGUUUCAAGCAGGCAUACGCCUUGAAUACGUUAGCAUGGAAUAAUAAGAUAGGACCUCGGUUCUAUUUUGUUGGUUUCUAGAGCUGAGGUAAUGAUUAAUAGGGAUAGUUGGGGGUAUUCGUAUUCUAUUGCUAGAGGUGAAAUUCUUAAAUUUAUGGAAGACGAACUACUGCGAAAGCAUUUACCAAGGAUGUUUUCAUUAA